UGAGGUUAGAGGAGCCUGCGGAGGAACCACCGAGACCAUCGGAGUGAUAACACCCCGUGAAGGAGCUGAAGUGUCCAGGAGCCGAACUACAGCUGCUGAGAUGGGACCGAAUGUCUGACAGGAGGUUGAAACAGGAAUAAUCCUAUUGGCUGCUGGGUGAACACCUCACCUGUCAGAUGUGAUUGAUGUUGAGCGCCACCUGCUGGUUCAUUGUCACAGUGCCAGUACCUGAGCGCCGUGUGGAUCAUUUACAGCUUCUUAAGCUUUUUAAGAUAUAGGAUAAGUUCUGUCUCGCCUGUGAUGGUUUUGGUGUGUUAGUAACUUUAUUCUGAGACACAGUCACUGCGCAACUAUGUGGUUCCUUUUGGAAUAACUGCUCUGAAAACAUGAACUGGAAAAGAUAUUGUUUGUUAAGGGAUGUUACGUGCUCUUUUAUAUUUUAUCCUCUGUUAACCUGCUGCUCAAUUUGUCUUGACUUCAUGAAAUUCAGAACAAGAUUAAAAAAUAUUUUUAUGUGAAAACCUGAAACACGUUUUUAAUUCUACAGCUUUGAAUAACGUUCUUGUUUUUCUGUGGACCUUUGUCUUACAUUAUUAUAUGUAUGUUUAUUCUGCUUUGUCAAUAAAGUGAAAAAACUUUCCAGUUAAUGAGUUUAUAUAAUCCACCAUACACAUGGCACACAACAGAGCAGAGUCAGGACCAGGACACCAUGUGAUGAAGAGACAAAAAACCUCUUUUAUUCAAACAUAGGAUCUUUUUCAAUUCGAUCCAUCGAUAUUUAUUUAAUGUAAAUAAACAGGAACAAGUGACAACAAGCCACUUUGAUCAUUAAAACACAGAAUAAUACACAAGUAUUUACAGUGACUUCACAUCCAAACAUCAACAGGACGCGGAUCACUAUGAACCAGACUGAGCGGUUUUCAUCUGAACCUGGAAGAACCCCCUCAGACCUGAUGACACAGGAGGAAACUCAGAGAAAAUAAAUAUCUGCUCUAACAUUAAAUUAAGAUUCUGAGGUUAAGGUCAAACUACAUCUGACCUCUGAGCUGAAAACUGAUCUGAGAUCUGACUGUGGACUGUCCCACCUUUCCACAAUAGCUGGAGUGAUUUUCUGGUGUGUGACUGUAUUUUUAGGACAUUCCCCAGUGAAGGUCUGAAUGUCUGGGAAUAAGGAAAAGGGAGAAAGUGCUCUGAUGAGAUUUGAGGAUAUUAUCUCACAAACAGAAAGGGUGGAAAAUCUCCCCAAAACUUUCCUCCACAUGAACAGACAACAAAUGACGUGUAAACAGAAGAUCACAUGAUAUAACAGAAGAUCACAUGAUAUAAAACAUUUAAAAUGUGUACUACAGACUGUCAGGACACCUCAUGUUUAAAUCCUGUUAUGAUGGCUGUUAGCGGAGUUAGAGCUGAUCAACACUAAAUAAUUUAACUAUCAAUUAACUGAUUUAGUCUUUUUUCUUUUCUUUUUUUUUUUUUUUUUUUUU